rnacentral:rRNA from 1 species
GCCAAACUUCUAGCCACACGCACUUCAAUGAAAAUUAAUUAGUCUACGCCCCGUAUCAAAACAUUUUCUUAAUUAAGUAAAGGCGAUAAAAAAAUUUUUUAGAGCAAUAUAGAUAGUACCGUAAGGGAAUGAUGAAAUAAAAGUGAAACAAUUCUCAAGCACAAAAAAGUAGAGCUCCACCCUUGUACCUUUUGCAUCAUGGUUUAACCAGUCCCCUUUAGGCAAAAAGAUUUUUAGUCUAAUUCCCCGAACCUAGGCGAGCUACCCUAAGACAGCUUUUAGAGCCAACCCGUCUCUGUCGCAAAAGAGUGGGAAGAUCUUAUAGUAGUGGUGACAGACCAAACGAGCCUAGUGAUAGCUGGUUGCUUUUUAAAAGGAUUUUAGUCCAACUUAAAGUUUCAUGCAUACCCUAAAAUUUAACUUUAAAGCAAUUCAAAUAAGGUUCAGCCUAUUUGAAAAAGGAUACAACCUCUACCACUGGGUUUUUCAUAACAUUUAAAUCUGAGUAGGCUUAAAAGCAGCCACCUUAAGAAAAAGCGUCACAGCUUACUACAACCAGUUAUACAAUUCCAAAACUAUCUACUAACCCCUCAUCCCCAAAAAGCAACUCUAUACCUUUAUAGAAAAUUUUAUGUUAAAACUAGUAACAAGAAGUAGCCCUUCUCUUAAAUGUACAUGUAUGUCAAUCUGGACGCACCAUCGACAAUUAACGCUCCUAAACUAACAGCAAAAACUACCCAAGAAAACCCUGCUGUCAUCAACGUUAACCUAACACAAGAACAUUAAAAGAAAGAUUAAAAGAUAAAGAAGGAACUCGGCAAACAUUAGCUUCGCCUGUUUACCAAAAACAUCGCCUCUUGACAAGCCAUAAGAGGUCAAGCCUGCCCAGUGACAUUGUUCAACGGCCGCGGUAUCCUAACCGUGCGAAGGUAGCGUAAUCACUUGUUCUUUAAAUGAGGACUAGUAUGAAUGGCUUCACGAAAGCUAUGCUGUCUCCUUUAUCCCAUCAGUUAAACUAAUCUCCCCGUGAAGAAGCGGGGAUACACCUAUAAGACGAGAAGACCCUAUGGAGCUUUAAACACCUUAAAACACUUGAUUCUUUAUUUAUAACUUCCAGUAAAAUUUAAUUAGUCCAUCAUUUUGUUUUAAGUUUUAGGUUGGGGUGACCACGGAGACAAAUUUAACCUCCACGUAGAAAGGAGAUUUUCCUAAGCAAAAAGCUACACCUUUAUGCAUCAAUAUAUUGACUUUAAUUGACCCAACUGCUUGAUCAACGAACCAAGUUACCCUAGGGAUAACAGCGCAAUCCGCUUUAAGAGCUCCUAUCGACAAGCGGGCUUACGACCUCGAUGUUGGAUCAGGGUAUCCUAGUGGUGCAGCAGCUACUAAUGGUCGUUGUCAACGAUGAAA